GGGGGCGAAAUGGCUUCGACGGGGAUAAAGAAGCUCAGAUGGCAUGCCGAGUUCCUGCUCAACUCGUAAAACGGGCGGGACUAAACAUAAUCGCAGACGAUUAUAACUACGCCGUAGCGGCUUAACGCUACCGUUCUUCCGGGUUAUGACCGCGGACCUGGAAAGAACGUCGACUAGCGGACUAGCCGGUUUUGAAUGCCUGCGACAAAACCGGUGAACUUUUCGCAGGAUAGCUUUUGCGGUAUCCCGCCUGAUGGAGACCUGCAAAAGCGAUACAUAAAGAUCAGGACAAGCAUGUAGAUGUCUGUGCGGAAUAUUUUCGGACGCGGGUUCGACUCCCGCCGCCUCCACCA
rnacentral:tmRNA from 2 species